rnacentral:rRNA from 1 species
UACAGAGGGGGCAAGCGUUAUUCGGAAUUAUUGGGCGUAAAGGGCGCGUAGGCGGCUUUUCAAGUGACGGGUGAAAUCCCUCGGCUUAACCGAGGAACUGCCUGUCAGACUGGAAGGCUUGAGACCGGGAGAGGUGAGUGGAAUUCCCAGUGUAGCGGUGAAAUGCGUAGAUAUUGGGAGGAACACCAGUGGCGAAGGCGGCUCACUGGACCGGUUCUGACGCUGAGGCGCGAAAGCGUGGGGAGCAAACGGG